rnacentral:rRNA from 1 species
GAGCGGCGGACGGGUGAGUAAUGCAUAGGAAUCUACCCAGUCGUGGGGGAUAACCUGAGGAAACUCAGGCUAAUACCGCAUACGUCCUACGGGAGAAAGCGGGGGCUCUUNGGACCUCGCGCGAUUGGAUGAGCCUAUGUCGGAUUAGCUNGUUGGUAAGGUAACGGCUUACCAAGGCGACGAUCCGUAGCUGGUCUGAGAGGAUGAUCAGCCACACCGGGACUGAGACACGGCCCGGACUCCUACGGGAGGCAGCAGUGGGGAAUAUUGGACAAUGGGCGAAAGCCUGAUCCAGCCAUGCCGCGUGUGUGAAGAAGGCUUUCGGGUUGUAAAGCACUUUCAGCGAGGAAGAAAGCGUGCCGGCCAAUACCCGGUACGGACGACAUCACUCGCAGAAGAAGCACCGGCUAACUCCGUGCCAGCAGCCGCGGUAAUACGGAGGGUGCAAGCGUUAAUCGGAAUUACUGGGCGUAAAGCGCGCGUAGGCGGCGUGUCACGCCGGGUGUGAAAGCCCCGGGCUCAACCUGGGAACGGCAUCCGGAACGGGCAGGCUAGAGUGCAGGAGAGGAAGGUAGAAUUCCCGGUGUAGCGGUGAAAUGCGUAGAGAUCGGGAGGAAUACCAGUGGCGAAGGCGGCCUUCUGGACUGACACUGACGCUGAGGUGCGAAAGCGUGGGUAGCAAACAGGAUUAGAUACCCUGGUAGUCCACGCCGUAAACGAUGUCGACUAGCCGUUGGGUCCCUUGAGGACUUAGUGGCGCAGUUAACGCGAUAAGUCGACCGCCUGGGGAGUACGGCCGCAAGGUUAAAACUCAAAUGAAUUGACGGGGGCCCGCACAAGCGGUGGAGCAUGUGGUUUAAUUCGAUGCAACGCGAAGAACCUUACCUACCCUUGACAUCCUGCGAACCCGGAAGAGAUUCCGGGGUGCCUUCGGGAGCGCAGAGACAGGUGCUGCAUGGCUGUCGUCAGCUCGUGUUGUGAAAUGUUGGGUUAAGUCCCGUAACGAGCGCAACCCUUGUCCCUAUUUGCCAGCGAUUCGGUCGGGAACUCUAGGGAGACUGCCGGUGACAAACCGGA